rnacentral:lncRNA from 1 species
GUGGCGGUGGGGGUGGACUCUUCGUGGUUGUUUGGGGAGUUUCCCUUUGUACAGGAGGUGGGAUUCACAGCAGACUGAAUGGGUGGGUUCUCUUGGGAGCUCUGCAUCCAUGCACUGUGGAGGCGCGUUUUCUGGUAGGGGCCUGUGGGGUGCAGUGGUUGCGGCUCCGGCCUGGCCGAUGGGUGGGGGCUCUUGGGGUCAUGUGUCUCAGUGGCGUUGCAGUCGUUCCGUGUCAUUGCUUUUAUCCUUCUUGGGGCAUCGUCCAUUAAGGUUGUGGAGUGCUGGUCGGGUCCUGGUGUUCUGUUGCACCGUCUGGCG